AGGAGAAUGGGUGAAGGGGGUCAAUGCGGGUGCUCGUGAGUUCUCUUAUUUUGUUCCCCUUAAAAACAAGUCACUUUGUUAUUACAGUUACCUUUCAUGCUUCUGAGUGAAUGGGCAGUGCCCCUACCAGGUUCCUCAAAAGACAUGGCAGGUAUGAUGACAUACUCACAAGUCUCCAUCACAAAGUGACGAAGAAGCGGCUAAGAGUGGUUAUAAAUUUUUAUACUACUGUUUACUCAAUUUAUACUACUGACCUGGCACUCGAGCAAAUUCUGCAAGUUUUAGAGAAGUUAUAAAUUUUUA